rnacentral:rRNA from 1 species
GGCUUGCAGUGGGUACGGGCAGACUAGAGUGCGGUAGGGGAGAUUGGAAUUCCUGGUGUAGCGGUGGAAUGCGCAGAUAUCAGGAGGAACACCGAUGGCGAAGGCAGAUCUCUGGGCCGUAACUGACGCUGAGGAGCGAAAGCGUGGGGAGCGAACAGGAUUAGAUACCCUGGUAGUCCACGCCGUAAACGUUGGGCGCUAGAUGUAGGGACCUUUCCACGGUUUCUGUGUCGUAGCUAACGCAUUAAGCGCCCCGCCUGGGGAGUACGGCCGCAAGGCUAAAACUCAAAGGAAUUGACGGGGGCCCGCACAAGCGGCGGAGCAUGCGGAUUAAUUCGAUGCAACGCGAAGAACCUUACCAAGGCUUGACAUACACCGGAAACGGCCAGAGAUGGUCGCCCCCUUGUGGUCGGUGUACAGGUGGUGCAUGGUUGUCGUCAGCUCGUGUCGUGAGAUGUUGGGUUAAGUCCCGCAACGAGCGCAACCCUCGUUCUAUGUUGCCAGCGCGUUAUGGCGGGGACUCAUAGGAGACUGCCGGGGUCAACUCGGAGGAAGGUGGGGAUGACGUCAAAUCAUCAUGCCCCUUAUGUCUUGGGCUUCACGCAUGCUACAAUGGCCGGUACAAAGGGCUGCGAUACCGUAAGGUGGAGCGAAUCCCAAAAAGCCGGUCUCAGUUCGGAUUGAGGUCUGCAACUCGACCUCAUGAAGUCGGAGUCGCUAGUAAUCGCAGAUCAGCAACGCUGCGGUGAAUACGUUCCCGGGCCUUGUACACACCGCCCGUCAAGUCAUGAAAGUCGGUAACACCCGAAGCCGGUGGCCUAACCCUUGUGGAAGGAGCCGUCGAAGGUGGGAUCGGUGAUUAGGACUAAGUCGUAACAAGGUAGCCGUACCGGAAGGUGCGGCUGGAUCACCUCCUUUCUAAGGAGCAUCUGGCUCGUCGUGUCCUUCGGGGGACGGUGGGUCCAGGCGCCGGAUCGAGACGAACGUUCUCGCCGGUAGCUCAUGGGUGGAACAUUGACAGUGCAGUCGGGAGCGCAGCUUC